CCUACGUGAGGCUGCAGUGGGGAAUAUUGCACAAUGGGGGAAACCCUGAUGCAGCGACGCCGCGAGAGUGAAGAAGUAUUUCGGUACGUAAAGCUCUAUCAGCAGGGAAGAAAAUGACGGUACCUGACUAAGAAGCCCCGGCUAACUACGUGCAAGAAGCCGCGGUAAGACGUAGGGGGCAAGCGUUAUCCGGAUUUACUGGGUGGAAGGGGAGCGUAGACGGCAGCGCAAGUCUGGAGUGAAAUCCCAUGGCUUAACCAUGGAACUGCUUUGGAAACUGUGCAGCUAGAGUGCAGGAGAGGUAAGCGGAAUUCCUAGUGUAGCGGUGAAAUGCGUAGAUAUUAGGAGGAACACCAGUGGCGAAGGCGGCUUACUGGACUGUAACUGACGUUGAGGCUCGAAAGCGUGGGGAGCAAACAGGAUUAGAUACCCGGGUAGUC
rnacentral:rRNA from 1 species